UACGAAGGGUGCAAGCGUUAAUCGGAAUUACUGGGCGUAAAGCGUGCGUAGGCGGUUUGUUAAGUCUGUUGUGAAAUCCCCGGGCUCAACCUGGGAAUGGCAAUGGAUACUGGCAAGCUAGAGUGUGUCAGAGGAUGGUGGAAUUCCCGGUGUAGCGGUGAAAUGCGUAGAUAUCGAGAGGAACACCAGUGGCGAAGGCGAGUCCCUGGACGACUCCUGACACUGAGGCACGAAAGCUAGGGGAGCAAACAGG
rnacentral:rRNA from 1 species